UACGUAGGGGGCUAGCGUUGUCCGGAAUCAUUGGGCGUAAAGCGCGUGUAGGCGGCCAUACAGGUCCGUUGUGAAAACUGGAGGCUUAACCUCCAGACGUCGAUGGAAACCGUAUGGCUAGAGUCCGGAAGAGGCGAGUGGAAUUCCUGGUGUAGCGGUGAAAUGCGCAGAUAUCAGGAGGAACACCGAUUGCGAAGGCAGCUCGCUGGGACGUCACUGACGCUGAGACGCGGAAGCGUGGGGAGCAAACAGG
rnacentral:rRNA from 1 species